rnacentral:tRNA from 1 species
GCGAGCGUGGCGGAACUGGUAGACGCGCCGGACUUAGAAUCCGGUGGGUGAUCCCGUGGGGGUUCGAGUCCCUCCGCUCGCACCA